rnacentral:rRNA from 1 species
GAGGGGCAGCAUUUUAGUUUGCUUGCAAACUGAAGAUGGCGACCGGCGCACGGGUGAGUAACACGUAUCCAACCUGCCGAUAACUCCGGGAUAGCCUUUCGAAAGAAAGAUUAAUACCGGAUGGCAUACGAAUAUCGCAUGAUAUUUUUAUUAAAGAAUUUCGGUUAUCGAUGGGGAUGCGUUCCAUUAGUUUGUUGGCGGGGUAACGGCCCACCAAGACUACGAUGGAUAGGGGUUCUGAGAGGAAGGUCCCCCACAUUGGAACUGAGACACGGUCCAAACUCCUACGGGAGGCAGCAGUGAGGAAUAUUGGUCAAUGGGCGAGAGCCUGAACCAGCCAAGUAGCGUGAAGGAUGAAGGCUCUAUGGGUCGUAAACUUCUUUUAUAUGGGAAUAAAGUUUUCCACGUGUGGAAUUUUGUAUGUACCAUAUGAAUAAGGAUCGGCUAACUCCGUGCCAGCAGCCGCGGUAAUACGGAGGAUCCGAGCGUUAUCCGGAUUUAUUGGGUUUAAAGGGAGCGUAGGUGGAUUGUUAAGUCAGUUGUGAAAGUUUGCGGCUCAACCGUAAAAUUGCAGUUGAAACUGGCAGUCUUGAGUACAGUAGAGGUGGGCGGAAUUCGUGGUGUAGCGGUGAAAUGCUUAGAUAUCACGAAGAACUCCGAUUGCGAAG